rnacentral:rRNA from 2 species
GGAAGUUUUGAGUGGCGAACGGGUGAGUAACACGUGGGUAACCUGCCCAGANGAGGGGGAUAACACUUGGAAACAGGUGCUAAUACCGCAUAACAAUAAAAACCGCAUGGUUUUUAUUUAAAAGAUGGUUUUGCUAUCACUUCUGGAUGGACCCGCGGCGUAUUAGCUAGUUGGUAAGGUAAAGGCUUACCAAGGCAAUGAUACGUAGCCGAACUGAGAGGUUGAUCGGCCACAUUGGGACUGAGACACGGCCCAAACUCNUACGGGAGGCAGCAGUAGGGAAUCUUCCACAAUGGACGAAAGUCUGAUGGAGCAACGCCGCGUGAGUGAAGAAGGUUUUCGGAUCGUAAAACUCUGUUGUUAGAGAAGAACGUGUGUGAGAGUAACUGCUCAUGCAGUGACGGUAUCUAACCAGAAAGCCACGGCUAACUACGUGCCAGCAGCCGCGGUAAUACGUAGGUGGCAAGCGUUGUCCGGAUUUAUUGGGCGUAAAGGGAACGCAGGCGGUUUUUUAAGUCUGAUGUGAAAGCCUUCGGCUUAACCGAAGUCAUGCAUUGGAAACUGAAAGACUUGAGUGCAGAAGAGGAGAGUGGAACUCCAUGUGUAGCGGUGAAAUGCGUAGAUAUAUGGAAGAACACCAGUGGCGAAAGCGGCUCUCUGGUCUGUAACUGACGCUGAGGUUCGAAAGUGUGGGUAGCAAACAGGAUUAGAUACCCUGGUAGUCCACACCGUAAACGAUGAAUGCUAAGUGUUGGAGGGUUUCCGCCCUUCGGUGCUGCAGCUAACGCAUUAAGCAUUCCGCCUGGGGAGUACGACCGCAAGGUUGAAACUCAAAGGAAUUGACGGGGGCCCGCACAAGCGGUGGAGCAUGUGGUUUAAUUCGAAGCAACGCGAAGAACCUUACCAGGUCUUGACAUCUUCUGACAACCUAAGAGAUUAGGUGUUCCCUUCGGGGACAGAAUGACAGGUGGUGCAUG